AUUGAACGCUGGCGGUAUGCUUAACACAUGCAAGUCGAACGGUAGCACAGUCUAGCUUGCUAGACGGGUGACGAGUGGCGAACGGGUGAGUAACGCGUAGGAAUAUGCCUUGAAGUGGGGGACAACUUUGGGAAACUCAAGCUAAUACCGCAUAAUAUCUUCGGAUGAAAGUUGGGGACCUUCGGGCCUGACGCUUUAAGAUUAGCCUGCGUACGAUUAGCUAGUUGGUAGGUAAAGGCCUACCAAGGCGACGAUCGUUAGCUGGUCUGAGAUGAUGACCAGCCACACUGGAACUGAGACACGGUCCAGACUCCUACGGGUGGCUG
rnacentral:rRNA from 1 species